AAGGAAGAUAAUGACGGUACUUGAGGAGGAAGCCCCGGCUAACUACGUGCCAGCAGCCGCGGUAAUACGUAGGGGGCUAGCGCUAUCCGGAUUUACUGGGCGUAAAGGGUGCGUAGGCGGUCUUUCAAGUCAGGAGUGAAAGGCUACGGCUCAACCGUAGUAAGCUCUUGAAACUGGGAGACUUGAGUGCAGGAGAGGAGAGUGGAAUUC
rnacentral:rRNA from 1 species